ensembl:lncRNA
CUGGUCCCAUCACUUCAUGGCAAAUAAAUGGGGAAACAGUGGAAACAGUAACAGACUUUUUGCGGGAGGGGCUCCAAAAUUACUGCAGAUGGUGACUGCAGCCAUGAAAUUAAAAGAUGCUUGCUCCUUGGAAGAAAAGUUGUGACUAACCUAGACAGCAUAUUAAAAAGCAGAGACAUUACUUUGCCAACAAAAGUCUGUCUAGUCAAAGCUAUGGUUUCUCCAGUAGUCAUGUAUGGAUGUGAGAGUUGGAUCACAAAGAAAGGUGAGCGUCUAAGGAUUGAUUCUUUUGAACUGUGGUCUUGGAGAAGACUCUUGAGAGUCCCUGGGACAGCAAGGAAAUCCAACCAGUCCAUCCUAAAGGAAAUCAGUCCUGAAUAUUCAUUGGAAGGAUGGAUGCUGAAGCUGAAACUCCAAUACUUUGGCCACCUGAUGAGAAGAACGGACUCAUUUGAAAAAACCCUGAUGCCAGGAAAAAUUGAAAGCAGGAGGAGAAGGGAAUGACAGAGGAUGAGAUGGUUGGAUAGCAUCACUGACUCAAAGGACAUGAGUUUGAGUGAACUCGGGAGUUGGUGAUGGACAGGGAGGCCUGGCAUGCUGCAGUCCAUGGGAUCACAAAGAGUUGGACACAACUGAGCUACUGAACUGAACUGAAGGGGGAUGAGAAGGAGUGAGUCACAUAAGGAAUAAGGGGCUGAACAAAAGGCUUUUGCUGUUUGAAGAACAGAAAAAAAAAAAAAAAAAAAAGACUUGUUGACUGGGGCCUAGGGACCAAAGGGAAAAGUGAUGCAAGAUGAGAGAGGAAAGGUAGGCAGAAGCUAGAUUAUGAGAGCCUUAUAAACCAUGGUGUUCUAAGAGUACCUCCAAAUAUUGGUGCAGUGUUUUAAGUAGGCAAGAGAUAUGCACAGGUUAAUGUCUGAAGAUUAUCUUUCCUUUGAGUGGCAGCCGGUUGGGAAAUGAUGCCAGUGGUCCCAGGCAAGAAAUUGGGGGUGGCCUGGAUCAGGGCUGUGGAGAUGGAGAGGUGUGGAUGGAUUUGGGAUCUGGCUUGCUUGUUCCUGGUGCCUCACAUAUUCUGGUCAUAUCCAAGGGUUGGCAGUACUGGUGCAGGGACCACCUUCCCUUUAUUCAGUAGCAUUUGUUGAGUACCUGCUGCACACCCAGUGAGUAAGACACUCAUCCAGGCAGCCCAAAGUCUAGAAGAGAGAGACACACAAUAUGAUUCCAGAGUGUGGAGGAGAAGAGUCAGGGGAGGACUGGAGGAAGGGACAACUAAAUUGAUUUACAAAAAAAUAAGUUAAGUGAAGAGGUGGGGUGGGGAACAGGCAUGCCAGGCCUAGCACGACCCAGCGGAAGCCCAGAGGAUGCAAAGUAUACGUGGAAGGGCAGAAGCAUAAAAACCAGGGCAGGGGCAGGAGAGAGAGGAGGCUGCAGGGGUCAGCAAGAGCCUGACCAUGAAUUAACCUUUGGGUCUCGAGGUGAGAACAGGAGCAGAUGGGAGGCGUGCGCUCUCCAGCUUCCGAGCUAGUCUUCUCCAGUGCAUCCCCCACUUGCUACCAGAGCACUCUCUCUAAAGUCUAGAUCUACUUAAGACCUCUCAAAGUUCCUCCCAUAUUCUGUGUCCCACAGAGUUCCCCACAGUGGCUCCCAGGUGUCCUCACCCUACUCAGCUUCUGCCAUACCAAGUGACUUUUACCAAACCCAGUCUCUUCCACAAACCAUGUGCCCUCAUUCACAACAAAAAGAAUCCUAAAAAGAGAGCACAAGAUUAUCAUCACAGGUAAAAUAACUAAUGUGACAGAAAUGUUUCCUAAUCAGAAAUUUCCUCGGUAAACUAGCAGCCACUUAAAAUGACGUAGGGACUUCCCUUGUAGUCCAGUGGUUAAGAGUCCACCUUCUGAUGCAAGGGCUGCUGGCUCAAUACCUGGUCGGAGAACUAAGUUCCCACAUGCCUCGGGGUAUGGCCAAAAUUUUUUUUUAAAUGAUAUAGAAACAUAUUUGACAUGAAAAAAUACAUAUGAUCUGUAGCUAAAUUAUAAAGUGGCCUUUACACAGUAUAAUUCUAGUAAGCAUGUGGGUAUAUAUCAGUAUGAGAGUACGGGAAAAAGUCAACAGGUCUUAUCUCCAAGCGAACAGAGUUACAGGAGAUUUUAACUUUUGUCUUUUGACGUAUGUAUUAUAUUUUAAAAAUUUCUAAUACACAGUUAUUACUUUUAUGAUAAGAAACAACAAACAAAGCUACUCUAGGGACAUGGCUGGCAAUGUUCCCAAGGGUGACUGACCUCUGGCUGGUUACCCUGACUGCUCCUUGUAGACACAGCAGUAUUUUUCUCCAGGAGGACUGCAAGCGAGACUAAUUCAUUAAGUGCUUUCAGUCCUGAAGAUGACAGAAACCAGGAAAGCAUAAAGUCUCGUUACUACGACAGCCAGUAGCCUUGAUGUCUGUGUGUUUAUUUAUUAACAGGACUUUAUGUAUCCAUCCUCCCACCAGUUCCAGGAGCCUCACAGCUGACUUUGAUACAGAUCACAUUUUCAAAAUGGUACAGCCCAUCCGUCAGAAGACAGACAAGGCUGUCUCACCCGAGGAUUAAAACUACAAGAACAUGGUCCUUGGAAACAAAAUGAGCUUGAAAGAUACUGACAAGGGCUGGUGAGGGGUUAGGAGAAUAGUGUGCCGAGGAGCAAACUGGAUCCAUGGGUUGUUUUCUUUAAGUUAACGAGAAUCGAAUAAUGACUUUACUGUGCAGGCAUUGAGUGUGCUCUGUCACCUUUCCAGCAGUUUUAUAAGGAAUUAUUCCCAUUUUAGAGCUGCUAAAACUGAGACUCAGAGAGGAUGAAGAACUGGUUAAUAAGAGCUUAAUUUUUAACACAGCUGUUUCUUCAAUCACCCACUCUCCUGCAACUCCACCCUACUUAAUGGAUGUGGCUUAAAGGCAGGGGAUUUUAAAGCUUGGGAAAUUUUCUAUUGAUUUUGGCUUAGAAGUUACUCAGCAUCAAGUGGAUGCCAAAUGCCCUUGUUGAAUGGAUGGAUGAAGGUGUGGGUGGAUGGGCGGAUGGACAAAGAAAGAAUGGUUUUUAAAAAUCAUACAAAGGCAGAGAGAAAUGAUCGCAUUAGAAACUUAUCUCACAGUUUCUACAAAUGGACGUGACCAGGAUACCAUAGGUCUGUCUGUUCUCUACCGGAGACUUACAAGUCUGUGCCUGUAAUGGGAGUAAACAUCAGGAGAGACAUUUUUGGAAUGCUGGAGAGAAACGGGACCCUGCUGGGUAUGUGGGUCAGUCAGUCCUGUCACAGCUUGGGGAGGAGAGGUGCUGGCUUGGCCGAGCUUGUGAACAAAGCUUAGAUGUCUGCUGUUCUCCUUUGCAGACUGGUUACCGUGGUCCUACUGUGUUCUAGCAGUUUGCCUGCCUUACUCUAUUCUUGUGGUCUUGGGACACAGGGCAGUAAGGAGACCCAAACAGUACUGCUUCAUAGGAAGCAGAGCUUUAUUUUAUUUUGUCAAGUUGGUACCAAACUGGCAGCUUUCUCCUGGCUCAAGUGAAGAGCUGUUUUUCUCCAUGUGUGUGCUGUCAGCUCUAGGAACGCUUGACAUCAGUUAUUGGGUCAGCAAGUAGAAAACGAAGGAAGUGUUAGUUCACAUGUCUUAUCUCCUG